GUCUACGGCCAUACUACCCUGAACGCGCCCGAUCUUGUCGGAUCUCGGAAGCUAAGCAGGGUCGGGCCUGGUUAGUACUUGGAUGGGAAAUUACUCACUUACUCAAAAAGAACUAUAAGAUAUCAGAACAGAAGAUG
ensembl:rRNA 5S_rRNA 5S ribosomal RNA